GACGAACGCUGGCGGCGUGCUUAACACAUGCAAGUCGAACGGAAAGGCCCUGCUUUUGUGGGGUGCUCGAGUGGCGAACGGGUGAGUAACACGUGAGUAACCUGCCCUUGACUUUGGGAUAACUUAAGGAAACUUGGGCUAAUACCGGAUAGGAGCUCCCGCUGCAUGGUGGGCGUUGGAAAGUUUCGGCGGUUGGGGAUGGACUCGCGGCUUAUCAGCUUGUUGGUGGGGUAGUGGCAUACCAAGGCUUGGACGGGUAGCCGGCCUGAGAGGGUGACCGGCCACAUUGCGACUGAGAUACGGCCCAGACUCGUACGGGAGGCAGCGGUGGGGAGUAUUAUACAAUGGGCGGAAGCCUGAUGCGGCAACGCCGCGUGCGGGAUGACGGCCUUCGGGUUGUAAACCGCUUUCGCCUGUGACGAAGCGUGAGUGACGGUAAUGGGUGAAGAAGCACCGGCUAACUACGUG
rnacentral:rRNA from 1 species